GACGUAGGGGACGAGCGUUGUCCGGAUUUAUUGGGCGUAAAGCGCGCGUAGGCGGCUCGGACAGUCGGAUGUGAAAAUCCGGGGCUCAACCCCGGGACCUGCAUCCGAUACUUCCGGGCUAGAGGUAGGUAGGGGAGAUCGGAAUUCCUGGUGUAGCGGUGAAAUGCGGCAGAUAUCAGGAGGAACAGCCAGAUGGCGAAG
rnacentral:rRNA from 1 species